ensembl:snRNA U6 U6 spliceosomal RNA
GUGCUCACUUCAGCAGCACAUAUAUGAAAAUUGGAAUGAUACAGAGAAGAUUAGCAUAGCCCCUGAGCAAGGAUGACACUCUAAUUCAUGAAGUAUUCCAUAUUUUU